rnacentral:rRNA from 1 species
GACAGAGGGUGCAAACGUUGUUCGGAAUUACUGGGCGUAAAGCGCGUGUAGGCAGCUCGGAAAGUCGGGUGUGAAAGCCCUGGGCUUAACCUAGGAAGUGCACUCGAAACUUCCGAGCUUGAGUUCUGGAGAGGAAGGCGGAAUUCUCGGUGUAGAGGUGAAAUUCGUAGAUAUCAAGAGGAACACCGGUGGCGAAGGCGGCCUUCUGGACAGUGACUGACGCUGAGACGCGAAAGCGUGGGGAGCAAACAGG